rnacentral:rRNA from 1 species
UACAGAGGGGGCAAGCGUUGUUCGGAAUUAUUGGGCGUAAAGGGAGUGUAGGCGGCUUGUUAAGUCUUCUGUGAAAUCUACGGGCUUAGCCUGUAAAGUGCAGAGGAAACUGGCGAGCUUGAGUGUCGGAGAGGGUAGCGGAAUUCCUGGUGUAGAGGUGAAAUUCGUAGAGAUCGGGAGGAACACCAGUGGCGAAGGCGGCUACCUGGCUGACAACUGACGCUGAGACUCGAAAGCAUGGGGAGCAAACAGG